GGACAGAUGGCCGAGUGGUCUAAGGCGCCGUCUUAAGGUGACCCUGCCAUCGGCAGGCAUGAUCCGGUGGUCUUCGGGCGUGGGUUCGAAUCCCACUCUGUUCA
rfam:Puccinia triticina 1-1 BBBD Race 1 supercont2.42, whole genome shotgun sequence.